CCUACGGGAGGCAGCAGUGGGGGAUAUUGGACAAUGGGGGAAACCCUGAUGCAGCGACGCCGCGUGAGUGAAGAAGUAUUUCGGUAUGUAAAGCUCUAUCAGCAGGGAAGAAAAUGACAGUACCUGACCAAGAAGCCCCGGCUAAAUACGGGCCAGCAGCCGCGGUAAUACGUCGGGGGUGCGCGUGAUCUGGUUUUACUGGGGGUAAAGGGAGCGUAGUCGGUUUUGUAAGUCUGGAGUGAAAGCCCGGGGCUCAACCCCGGGAGUGCUUUGGAAACUGUGUGACUGGAGUGCAGGAGAGGCAGGUGGAAUUCCUGGUGUAGCGGUGAAAUGCGUAGAUAUCAGGAGGAACACCGGGGGCGAAGGCGGCCUGCUGGACUGAAACUGACGUUGAGGCUCGAAAGCGUGGGGAGCAAACAGGAUUAGAUACCCGAGUAGUC
rnacentral:rRNA from 1 species